rnacentral:rRNA from 1 species
CCUACGGGAGGCAGCAGUAGGGAAUCUUUCACAAUGGGCGAAAGCCUGAUGGAGCAACGCCGCGUGCAGGAUGAAGGCCUUCGGGUUGUAAACUGCUUUUAUAAGCGAGAAAUAUGAUGGUAACUUAUGAAUAAGGAUCGGCUAACUACGUGCCAGCAGCCGCGGUCAUACGUAGGAUCCGAGCAUUAUCCGGAGUGUCUGGGUGUAAAGAGUUGCGUAGGUGGCAUAAUAAGUAGCUAGGGAAAUCUGGUGGCUCAACCAUUCAGACGAUAAGCUAAACUGUUAAGCUCGAGACCGUUAGGGGUAACUGGAAGUUCUAGUGUAGGAGUGAAAUGCGUAGAUAUUAGAAAGAACACCAAUAGCGAAGGCAGGUUACUGGGACGGUUCUGACACUAAGGCACGAAAGCGUAGGGAGCAAACGGGAUUAGAUACCCGUGUAGUC